UAUUCUGUAUGCAACAUGUGGUUCAAUCCAACACGAUAGGACAAAAUUCCUGGCAGACGUUGUUUUUUGCAUACUAAUUCAUGUCUAGUCUUCCAGUUUGAUUAUGAUCAGGCACAAAAACACGUGGCAAGCGAGACCUUGACCUUAGAGCUGAAGAACAACGUGCGGGAUACUGAAGAGAUGACAGGUCCAGCAUUUUCCACUGCCAUUGAUUUUCCGCCGGAUAUAUAAACUACUGCUUCUCUCUUUACUUUGCAUGCAAGAGUUGUACUAUACUAUACCAGCAUUUUUAUUUCUCGGUCAGCGAUUUGUGUUCCUCGGUGUUGUUCGUUUCAACGGAAGGGGUCAAGCUAGACUCAAGAGCUGCAUUUUUACGAGAAAGCAUGUGGGGUGAAAACAGUGUCUUCACCGCUAGACAGACAUGGAUCAUCAGUCUAGAGAUGGCAAGAAACCCGAAUACCCGACAUGUUUAAUUUUACUCGAUAUAAAGAUGGUUAUAGAUGAUUUCUUCACUUUCUGAGUAAAAAUAGGUAAGAAUUUUUACCCAUUAGGUAGAUGGCUACCGAUACGGAUUGGUACUACAUAUACCCGUAUACACAUAGGUAAAAUAUACCUGCAUCAUACCACUAUAACCAUGCAUCUAAUAAAAUUCAUCUUAGUCAAAAUAAAAUCCUUCUCUAAUUAUCAUUUGUUUAACUAUCAAUUUAUGUAGUCAUAUGGUUUGUUAUAUUUUAAUUUAAACUUAUAUUUGUGUAUUUAUUUGAUAUUUUGAGUGAUUGGAAGAGGUGGACUCACCACCCAGGUAGCACAGGCUGUGGCCUGGUCUGCCUUGCCGCCUAAAAGGUGCACACAAGUCUAAAUAUUUAAGCCCAGCUGAUAAUCUUUAUUAGCAGUUGAUAAUCUCGUCUAGGUUGUCUUUAAUUCCUAGAUCCACCACUGGUGAUUGGUAUAAUAGAAAUUAAUACUUAUACCCGCGAUGUGUAAAAUUAACAGCGCGGAUAUAGGUAUAGGUAAGAUAUUAUAUCCGCGAGAGUAAUCUUUAUUAGCAGUUGAUAAUCUCGUCUAGGUUGUCUUUAAUUCCUAGAUCCACCACUGGUGAUUGGUAUAUUAGAAAUUAAUACUUAUACCCGCGAUGUGUAAAAUUAACAGCGCGGAUAUAGGUAUAGGUAAGAUAUUAUAUCCGCGAGAGUAAUCUUUAUUAGCAGUUGAUAAUCUCGUCUAGGUUGUCUUUAAUUCCUAGAUCCACCACUGGUGAUUGGUAUAUUAAGAAAUUAAUACUUAUACCCGUGAUGUGUAAAAUUAACAGCGCGGAUAUAGGUAUAGGUAAGAUAUUAUAUCCGCGAGAGUAUAUGAAUAACCCGAUAAGUAAGAUUUUUUAUGGGUACGGAUAUAUAAUGAUACUACUCGACUGGUU
rnacentral:lncRNA from 1 species